rnacentral:rRNA from 1 species
GACAGAGGGUGCAAGCGUUGUUCGGAAUUAUUGGGCGUAAAGCGCGUGUAGGCGGCCUUGCAAGUCGGGUGUGAAAUCCCUCAGCUCAACUGAGGAAGUGCGCCCGAAACUGCAGAGCUUGAAUACCAGAGAGGAUGGCGGAAUUCCCCAAGUAGAGGUGAAAUUCGUAGAGAUGGGGAGGAACACCGGUGGCGAAGGCGGCCAUCUGGCUGGAUAUUGACGCUGAGACGCGAAAGCGUGGAUAGCAAACAGG